AUUGAACGCUGGCGGCAGGCCUAACACAUGCAAGUCGAGCGGUUGAAGGGAGCUUGCUCCUGGAUUCAGCGGCGGACGGGUGAGUAAUGCCUAGGAAUCUGCCUGGUAGUGGGGGAUAACGUGCGGGAACGGGCGCUUAUACCGCAUACGGCCUCAGGGAGCAAGUGGGUGAUCUUUGGACCUCACGCUCUCAGCUUAGCUUAGCUCGCAUUAGCUAGUUGGUGGGGUAAAGGCAUACCAAGGCGACGAUCCGUAACUUGUCUGAGGGGAUGAGCAGGCACACUGGAGCUGAGACACGGCCCAGACUCCUAGGGGCGGCAGAGGUGGGGACUAGUGGACGCUGGGCGGAAGACUGCUCCAGGCGUGCCGGGUGGGUGCAGAAGGUCUUCGUAUUGUAAAGCACUUUUAGUGGGGUGAACGGGCAGUGGGUGAAUACAUGGCUGUUUUGACGUUACCAACAGAAUAAGCGCCGGCUAACUUCGUG
rnacentral:rRNA from 1 species